rnacentral:lncRNA from 1 species
GCCAGAUUUCAUUGUUCACUACUACAUAACCCAUCUUCAGUACAAGAUCUAAACUACAUAAACCCAUAUCAUUACAGGAGGAACAUAGAGCUACGAAGGCGAAGGAAGAGCCCCUCCCCUUGGACGCCCUUUCAACGGGAGCCGGAAGAAGCGGGGAUCCUGCAGCGCCUGCCUCUUCCCCUUCGGCCCAAGAAAGGCGCCUGGAGGAGAGAAGCGGGGCUUUUGGGCCGCCUCCUGGAUCGGGACCUGGACGGAGGAAGGGGUGAGACUCAGCUGAUUGCUCUUUGCUGUUUUUGGACCCAAAAACCAAUAACCAAAUCCCAGAUCCCUCCAACAUUUGCAAGGAAGGGGUGAGACUGAGCUGAAUUCUCUUUGCUGUUUUUAGGACCAAAACUGAAGAACCAAAUCCCAGAUCCCUCCAACAUUUGCAAGGUCAGUGAGAUUUCAAGGGGUGGCUUAAGUAGCCUUGCCAACCACUCUCUUCUCUCAGUUUCCGUGGCCCAGCAGGGAUUUGAAUUCAGGUCCCCUGGUUUCCAGUUGGUACUCCGUCCACGACACCACACUUCCUCUUUGAACAUGUGCAAAGUGUUGGUGUUUGGGGAGAUGGUUUUCUUUCAUCUUAUUUAGGUGUAGGAUUUUCUUAGAAAAAAUCUCAAUCCUGCUCACCCCAACCCAGGAUGUCAAUGUUUAUUCCUGCCAUCUCCUGUUUGACCACAUCCACCUUACCAAGGUUCAUGGAUCUUACAUUCCAGAUUCCUAUGCAGUAUUUUUCUUUCCAGCAUCAGAUUUUCCUUUUACUUCCAGG